CUUCUUCGUCGCUCUUUAUUCUCGUUCUGUUGACAGCUCACAGGAAGUCCUAAACAGCUCCCUGUUUUUCUCGGUUUUUCUUCAAGAAAAAAAUAGCCUUUUCUUCUAUUUUUAACUGAAAAACAAAGACUGUUACCCCUUUGGACCAGCGAUAGAUGACAGGAAUGGAGGAGUAUCCUAACGGCAACGAGGGUUCCUUCAACUCUGAAGAAGCUGAUGGCCUUGUCAAAGAGUGUAUCGAGGCGGUCGUUGGCGGUGACGACUACAGCCUGAAUCAUGUGAACAAAUGGACCGCCAGCAUCGUGGAGCGCUGCCUCACGCAGCUGGUCAAACAGGGGAAACCAUACAAGUACAUCGUGACGUGUGCUGUGAUGCAGAAAACAGGAGCCGGCCUCCACACAGCUAACUCCUGCUACUGGGACACUGCCGUGGACGGAAGCUGCACUGUGAGAUGGGAAAACCGCACCAUGUACUGUGUAGUCAGUGUGUUUGCUGUGGCUAUCCCAUGAGAGCCACACACACACACACAUACACACACACACACACCUUGGUGAUGACAACUUUCUGGUGGGAGCGAUAGAGUCGGACGAGCCUCUCACACACAUAGAGGAUCAUGGGGCCCACCACCCACUUCCACGUCUGCAGAAAAGCCGUGGAAAACCAGUCCAAUGAAGAAGAUGACGAAGAGGUGGUGUGUGUACCAGAAGACCUCGAAGUAGGACCUGCGGAUCACCUCCAUGGAUGAAGUGAUGAUGAGGAUGAGGGCCAGCGUGAUGACCACGCCCGUCAGACCGGCGAUGGUGGUGAACAUGACGAUGGUAGGGCUCUGCGUACAAACACACAGCACACAGGGUUUAGUCGCGGCGUGGGUCCAGGUCACAGGGUCAGCGCCUCCAACGCCCUGCAGGUCAGGUUUGUUGACUAACUUCCCUCAUGUACCAAUGUCUGUUUUGUCAUAGUUCCUCUCCAUGCUCACACCGACUGUGGGCACGUACUCUCUGCUGCUUCUGUAGGAAGUACGAAGGUAGUUUGGAGGCUAAAGAGUGACUGUUGAAGUUAACAUCACGGGGGUUGUGGAGUUGUUAUAUUAUAGAAAAUAAACGGAUUCGGUCAUUUCUUCAGUA